rnacentral:rRNA from 1 species
AGUGGCGGACGGGUGAGUAACACGUGGGGAACCUAUCCAUCAGCGGGGGAUAACACUUGGAAACAGGUGCUAAUACCGCAUAUGGCUUUUUUUCACCUGAAAGAAAGCUCAAAGGCGCUUUACAGCGUCACUGAUGGCUGGUCCCGCGGUGCAUUAGCCAGUUGGUGAGGUAACGGCUCACCAAAGCAACGAUGCAUAGCCGACCUGAGAGGGUGAUCGGCCACACUGGGACUGAGACACGGCCCAGACUCCUACGGGAGGCAGCAGUAGGGAAUCUUCGGCAAUGGACGCAAGUCUGACCGAGCAACGCCGCGUGAGUGAAGAAGGUUUUCGGAUCGUAAAGCUCUGUUGUCAGCAAAGAACAGGAGAAAGAGGAAAUGCUUUUUCCAUGACGGUAGCUGACCAGAAAGCCACGGCUAACUACGUGCCAGCAGCCGCGGUAAUACGUAGGUGGCAAGCGUUGUCCGGAUUUAUUGGGCGUAAAGCGAGCGCAGGCGGUGAUUUAAGUCUGAUGUGAAAGCCCCCAGCUCAACUGGGGAGGGUCAUUGGAAACUGGAUCACUUGAGUGCAGAAGAGGAGAGUGGAAUUCCAUGUGUAGCGGUGAAAUGCGUAGAUAUAUGGAGGAACACCAGUGGCGAAGGCGGCUCUCUGGUCUGUAACUGACGCUGAGGCUCGAAAGCGUGG